AGUCGAACGGGAUUAUGCUUCGGUAUAGUCUAGUGGCAAACGGGUGAGUAACACGUAGGUAACGUACCCUUUGGUGGGGGAUAACUGUGGGAAACUGCAGCUAAUACCGCAUAAGUUUGUAUUUUGAGAUAGAUACAAAGAAAGAUGGCCUCUAUUUAUAAGCCAUCGUCGAAGGAACGGCUUGCGCAGCAUUAGCUAGUUGGUGGGGUAAAAGCCUACCAAGGCAACGAUGCUUAGCCGGUCUGAGAGGAUGAUCGGCCACACUGGAACUGAGACACGGUCCAGACUCCUACGGGAGGCGGCAGUAGGGAAUCUUGCGCAAUGGGCGAAAGCCUGACGCAGCGAUACCGCGUGAGUGAGGAAGGCCUUCGGGUUGUAAAGCUCUGUCGUUAGGGAAAAACGUUUAUUGUGUUAAUAGCGCAAUAGAGUGAUGGUACCUAAGAAGGAAGCACCGGCUAACUCCGUGCCAGCAGCCGCGGUAAUACGGAGGGUGCAAGCGUUGUUCGGAAUUAUUGGGCGUAAAGCGCGCGCAGGCGGUUUUGUAAGUCAUGUGUGAAAUCUCGAGGCUUAACCUCGAAAGUGCGCCUGAAACUGCAAAACUAGAGUCACAGAGGGACUGGGGGAAUUUCACGUGUAGGGGUAAAAUCCGUAGAGAUGUGAAGGAACACCGGAGGCGAAAGCGCCUGGUUAACUGUGAACUGACGCUGAGGCGCGAAAGC
rnacentral:rRNA from 1 species